rnacentral:lncRNA from 1 species
UCACCAUGAUACAUAUGCCCACAUUCCAACUGCUUAACAACCUUCCCCUCAUUGUUCACCACAUUAUCUUUACACACAGCACAUAUUUCAUUACAAUUUGAACUAUUCACCUCAACGGUGUGUAAAUUCUCAACCGCUGAUUUCGCUGCAGGCGGUGCACCUCUCCUCCCGAUGAUAUCGCUGUCAGCUAGGGUUUGCAGUAACGCUUCAUAUCCAGCUGCAUCUACAUAAUCUCCAGGAUUGCCGACGUAAGCAUCAUCGUUGCUAUCGUCAUCAUCGUUAUCGUUAACUUGUAACCUAAACUCGAUUGAUUGAUCUUCUAGUCCCAUUAGCAUCUCCGCCCAAUCGAGAAUCCGAUUAUGCCGGCUCGCGGCUCGGCUCGCCACUUGACGGAGCCGUAAUCGGAGUACGUCACGCCGUUCUCUUCUGACGUCAUCAACAUCAUCGUGUUCGUUAUGCUCAUCGUUCAAGUGCCGGAUACGGAGUACCGUAAACGGAGUACGCCACGCCGUUCUCUUCUGACGUCAUCAUCUCCGUUUUCGUUAAGUUCAUCGAUCCGAUUCUCGAUCUGAUCUUCAAUCUGUUCUUCGAUCCGAUUCUCGAUCUGAUUAUCGAUCUGUUCUACGUUUCGAUUCUCGAUCCGUUCGUUUGUUAUGAUGUCAUCAUCAUCAUCUUCUUCAUCGUAGUACCAGCGUGACCUAACUUGAUCUCGAAACUCCUGAUCUUCUUCAUCGGUGACGAUAUAGUUACCGUUAUCCCAACCGUCGAGCUCGAUACGGAGAUAAUCGUUAUCACCCCAACCGUCUGCCGUACGAUCGGAAUCAGGCGGAGGUGGAGGCGGCUCGUCGUCUUCACGGGCCGCCUGAGCAAUCAGCUGGAGAACUUGAACGAACUCGUUACCGAACGCCGGAGUCUCUUCAUUGCUAACUGAAACUGAGAUCGAUUCAACGAAUCCGUUUUUGCACUCGAAACAGACGACGUUAGGGUUGUUCGGUACGGUUUCUACAGGUACUCGUUUUUCGCAUUGGUAACACCAGUAUCCGGUAGGAUCUGGAGUAUUGGAUACAGUCGCCGGUGGUGGUGGUGGUGGUGCCGGUGGCGGUUGUGGUGGUGAGUUUCCGGCCAUUACCGGCGUGAAAAGUGUGUAAGAUGAGAAAAAAGAAUUUUGGUGUGUGGGGGCACUUGGUUUUUUGUAUGGUGAGGGGAUUUAGAUUAGGAUGGACCGUCGGAUGGAGGAUAGGUUGUGAUUGAUCGAGUGUGAUCCAACGGUUGACAUAGUUCACUUUCCAUUUGGAUGGCAUAGCUAUAUCAUAUUUUUCUAUU